rnacentral:rRNA from 1 species
UGGGGAAUAUUGCACAAUGGGCGAAAGCCUGAUGCAGCGACGCCGCGUGAGGGAUGACGGCCUUCGGGUUGUAAACCUCUUUCGACAGGGACGAAGCGUAAGUGACGGUACCUGUAGAAGAAGCACCGGCCAACUACGUGCCAGCAGCCGCGGUAAUACGUAGGGUGCGAGCGUUGUCCGGAAUUACUGGGCGUAAAGAGCUUGUAGGCGGUUUGUCGCGUCGUCUGUGAAAACUCACAGCUCAACUGUGAGCUUGCAGGCGAUACGGGCAGACUUGAGUACUGCAGGGGAGACUGGAAUUCCUGGUGUAGCGGUGAAAUGCGCAGAUAUCAGGAGGAACACCGGUGGCGAAGGCGGGUCUCUGGGCAGUAACUGACGCUGAGAAGCGAAAGCGUGGGUAGCGAACAGGAUUAGAUACCCUGGUAGUCCACGCCGUANCGGUGGGUACUAGGUGUGGGUUUCCUUCCACGGGAUCCGUGCCGUAGCUNCGCAUUAAGUACCCCGCCUGGGGAGUACGGCCGCAAGGC